GUAGUGCUGGAUUACCCACUAGGCAAUCCAGGUAACUGUCUAGAAACUGGGGACCCCAGGGUGCCUGUCACUUUCCAAGCUGCACGCUCCCCCAUUGUCCAUUCCGGAACAUCCUCUGUACGUUGAAAACACAUCAUACUGUGGGCACAGCUGACCUGCAGUUUCAUGCUGUUAUACAUCAUCUCAGCAGCAGUAGACCAUUGUAAGUGACGCCGACAACCUGGAGACUGCAAAAAGGCUCACCAGGGUCUUAUGUGAUAUCCCAUAACAACAAGGACAUUUUUGACAACAGUGUAGUUGCCUGUGCCAUUUUAAAUAAAGUUUAUUUAAAAGAAAAUUGAACAGCAGUUUGAGAAGUCAGUUGGAGCCAUGGUGAGGAAAGAGCUGGCGACGCCAUUACGCAGAGAUGAGCAGCUGAGAGAGGGGAGACAAAUAAGCUGAAAAUUGCAUGAGAGAGUAAGCAGUAGUGCAAAAUACAGCAAUGGAAGUGCAGCAAUUAACAAAUGCCAUGCAGGAGCUAUUAGGCACUGGAUACAAGGGCAUGAAGCAUUUAUUCAGGUCACUCAUGGGUUAAGCUCAUACUACCGCCAGUGACGUAAGUCCUCGUGGGCAUCCCAGUACCGGUAAGUGCGUCAAGCCUUAUGGGAAAAGUGGCUCUUGUAGGUGAGAAGACCUGCUGGUGGGUUCUAUGAGACUUAACUCAGAGUGUACAGGGGUCACUGCCCAGAAGUCGAUCUACAACCUCAAUUCCUGCAAAGAACCUCAGUUGCAAUCAUAACAUUUACAUUGCCUGUGUGCCUCUGUCAUGGUCUGUACUGUUUAUGCCUAAAUAAACCAACUUUCGUUUUGC